GCCUGGGUGGCUCAGUUGGUUGAGCGUCCAGCUUCGGCUCGGGUCAUGAUCUCGUGGUUUGUGGGUUCAAGCCCCGCAUUAGGCU
rfam:Felis catus isolate Cinnamon breed Abyssinian chromosome C2, whole genome shotgun sequence.